GCGUUUGGCAUUGCGGUGACAAAUGCUGAUUCUCACAGCUCGACACUUUUAUAAAGUUUUUUUUUAUUAUUAUUAUUGCUCUACAACUAAGGCACACACUCUUCGUUUAUUCCUUCCCUUUCCUCUUUUACUACUUUUUAUUUUACUUUUUGUUCCCUUUGUCUUUUUUUUUUUUCCCUGAAUGUUUGUUAGAACUUUCUGGAACAUGGAUCUAAUGCUAAUUUAAUAUGUUCAGUCAGAAAACCCACACAGCUUGCAGCAUGCUCACUUGGUAUGUUAACAGACCCGUUGUUCGGCUCAACACUAUUUCUUAAGGCGUUUGUGCAAUUCUUAACCUUAGUCUAGUAACAUACAAAAAUGUUUUCUCAUUGAGUGAUCUUGAAGGGGCAGAAUAAUGUUUAAAUGCAUCUGUAUUUUACAGACAGCUAUAAAGAGGGCAGGACCUGGUCAGACCUCCAGUCAGAUGUGGAAGUGUUUGGGCAAAGAUUACCAAGGAGGAGUGUCCAGAUUGGCCCCCCUGGAGAUCAGGAGCCUUGUUUGUGCGACUCAGAGGAUGUGUGCCACACCACCCAAACACAUUCUUCCACCUGCCCCCAGUGUUAAGCUCCCCACACUCACCCCAAACGCCACUUUCACCCCUGUUCACCACCACUUUACCAGCAGCACGACCACCAGCAGCACACGGCUCCUUCACAGAGAUGCUGCAGAACUGGCAGCCGAUGGACGAUAUGCCAUGUGAAUGUAUUCUUCUGCUUUCUGAUUGACUUUCUUUUAUAGGUAUUAAUUUUGUAGAACAUUUUUCCUCACUUCCCUUAACACAGUGUUCUCUUGUAGCGCUGCCUGGCUGUCAGACUUUACGAUGAGCCCCCAGGAAUCAUCAGAACCAGCCAUUCUGAGGGAGGUGCUGAAUAAAUUAAUGAUGGUGCUGGAUCAACAAACCACUGAGAUUGCUUCAACUACAGGAGGUCCAGCCUUUGGAUAUUGAGGAAGGUUUACUGCCCCUGCAAGACCUUCCUGAACUGUGUAGUCUGGAGCAAAGGAUGCAACAGAGCCCAGAUUACAAGCAAAAACUGUUUUCAGGUAAACUGGUUGGCGCUUAUCGAUGGGGCGGAUGUGCGCGACUGCAUCUGCCGCAUAUUGAAGAGGGUGAUUGCCAACUCCCUGGCAAAGAACCUCAAUUGGAGGGGAGUCAGUGGAAAUACUUCACUGGCCACUCUUCAACUCGGAGAGGUUGUGAUUAAAAAAUCCUCCAGGUCCUGCACAUUCUUUGCUUUUCUAGCAUCUUCUGCAUAUUUGACCCCUUUCCAACGGUGACUAUAUGAUGUCGAGAUCCAUCUUUUCACACUGAGGGCAACUGAGGGACUCGUACACAACUAUUACAUAAGGUGCAAACAUUCACUGCUGCGCAAGAAAGCAACAUGAAACAUUAAGAGCCAGGGGGGUGUAAACUUUUGUACAGGAUGAUCAGUGUCAAUUGUUAUUUUGUCUUCUGGGAGACAUGUAAGUAUCUUAUUUAGCUUCAGAAGGGCAGUACUAAAUGGAAAAAAAAAACAAGAUCUUUAAACAAAAUAACAAUUUACACCGAUCGUCCUGUUCAAAAGUUUUUGUUAAUAAAUGUUCAUAUUGUCGUGUAUUUGUUAAUGUUUAAUAAAAGCCCUUAAUCUUAUUAAAUGGUUGAAUUUGUGUUUCCCUGCUAAAAUUAAGUACAUUUAGCAGUUUCUAGGCCACAUCUGGCCUGGGAACCAAGCCGACUCUCAGCUAGAUCUGUCUUGCAGUGUCUGGGCCAGACCCAGGCCACAUAAAACAAUAUAAGUCACUUUUCAGUGUCUGGGCCAGAGGAAAUUGUAUGUGUCGGUUUUCAAUGUGUGGGCCAGUUUUGGGCCGGGGACCCAGGCAUAUACUGGGCCAGAACUAAAGCAGGUAUUUGGCCCACAAGUGGGCCAGACAGACUUUGAUAUCUGGGAAGACAGUACACUGAUUAAGAAACUACCAUGUAAACAGUGAUUUCUGAUUACCUUAAUCAGAAAUCUUAAAGUCAUACUCAAACUAAACACGAAUCGAAUUAAGACGUGGAGUAUUCCUAUUUUUGUCGCAUGUUUACAUGGACAGGAAUAAUCUAAUUAUUGACCCUAUUCUGAAUAAGACAAUAUUGUGAUUAAGGUGUUUACAUGAGUUGCUUUUAGAAUACUCCUUUCAUGAUCCUGUUUUACAUGUUAUAGAACAUAGAUUGAUUAACGGCACACGUCAUUACAUCCCCACGCCACGCCGUCUGAUGUUCCCUCCAGAAUUUCACGCAACAACAUACAGUUCAUCUUCGUUAUGGUACCAUAUACAGUUUUAGGUGUUUCAUUUUUAAUCUUGUGAAAAUUUCAAGUGCAGUUAAUUAUUUGUCAUGCUAUACAUGCAAAUACAUGACGGCGGACACAAAUUCUCCAGCAACAGGCCUCCUCUGUACUUUCACUCGGUAACAUUUCAUUCAUGUGACCGUGACAAACACUGAGGUACUGGAUGAGAGUAGGAAGUAAGGACUGGUGGGAGAGAGUUGUUUGAUGUAAUUUGAUGAUGCUGAAUGGAAAGACAAUUUUUUGUGCAAAGAAGAAUGGGAGAAACUGCCCAAAAAUAGGUUUGCCAAGCUUGUAGCAUCAUACUCAAAAAGACUUGAGGCUGUUAUUGGUGCCAAAGGUGCUUCAACAAAGUAUUGAGCAAAGGCUGUGAAUACUUAUGUACAUGUGCUUUUUUGUUUUUUAUUUUUAAUAAAUUUGCAAAGAUUUCCA